UCUUUUUCAAAAGCUACUUAGAAGCUUCUUGAAAGAUAUUUCAUCAGCCUCCCUCAAGUUGAUGUCCGAUGAUCGGAUACCCAACUUGACAAGAAAUUAACGAUGAAGGGGACCAGUGAGAAACUUGGUGAACAGAUCUGAUAUUUGGGAAGAGGAAGGUAAAAAGGUAAGAGAGAUAAGGCCACCAAAGAGUUUUCAUGAAUGAAGUGACAAUCAAGCUCAAUGUGCUUGGUUCAUUUGUGAAAGACGGGGUUUUUUGCAAUAUGUAUGGCGGAUCUGUUGUCGCAGUGUAGGGGAAGAGGAAGAAAAGGAGAGACAGUGAGAUCUGAGAGAAGACGAAUGAUCCAAGAGAUCUUGGCUACUAAAUAACAUAUAGAGCGGUAUUUAGAUUCUGUUGAGGAAAGAGAAAUGACUGGUUGUUUCUUAGAUUUCUAUUCCACUGGUGAGUCACUGAGACUGAUAUAGAAGCCGCUGAUGGAGUGUCGAGUGUCAGAGCACGAGGCCCAAUCAUCAUCACAGAACCUAAGGACUUGAAGAGAAGGAGAAGAAUUCAUAAAAAGGCCCAAGCUUGGAUCUUUACGGAGAUAGCGAAGGGUAUGGAAUGCUGCCUGAAGAUGACCAGUGUGAGGGUGUUGCAUAUAUUGGCUGAGAGUCUGGACUAAAAAAGCAAGAUCCGGACGAGUGUGCAUGAGGAAGUUGAGUUGAUCCAACAGACGAUGGUAGACAGUGGGGUUUGGUAGUGGGUCACCGAAAGUUAUGGUUAGUUUUAGGGUAGGGUCCAUGGGAGUGGAAAUAGGGUGGGAAGGGAGACUGGGAUAUUCCAAAAGAAGAUCCAUGGCGAAUUUUCGUUGAGUUACAAGCAAUCUAUCUGUCAGGAGUAUAUCAUCAACAUAUACUAUGACGAUGGUAACAAGAUUCCCAGAAGAAUUGUAAAAAAGGGAAUAGUCAUUCAAAGACGAAAUGAAACCCCAAGAUCCCAAGGCUGAAGAUAACCUUGCAUACCACUAGCGUGAUGCCUGUUUGAGCUCGUAUAGGAAUUUCUAUAAAUGGACCACAUGUGAGGGAGAAGGUGGUGUCAUGCUAGGAGGGUAGCGCAUGAAUACUUCUUCAUCUAAAUCGCCGUGUAAAAAGGCAUUGUUCACGUCCAGUUGAAAAAGUGGCCAGGAUUUUCUGACUGCAACUGCAAGUAUGUACCGAAUUGUGGUCAUCUUAACAACAGGGUAAAUGUUUCUUACCUGGGGGAAGAAGUACCUCUUCCCAUGUAGAAUUAGAGAUGAGAGCUCGAAUUUCAUCAUCCAUGGCAAGUUUCCAACCCGGAUGGCAUAUGGCUUAUUGAUCUGAAGUUGUUUGUGAAUAUAAUAAACUUUCUGAAAUAUCUUUCGUCAAAGAGUUCAACAAUCAUGCAAUGACCAUAUCAUUGCAUCUUCUCCACUGGUCAAAAAGGGGUGAAUCUGAUGGGUUCAAAUAAUAGGGGUGAUUGGGAGAAACAACAUCAGAUGUUGUUUUCUUAGUAGAUCCACUCGAGAUCUGACUAUAUGAAGAGUUUUCUCCCAUUUUUAAAGUUUAAAAGAGAGAAAAAAAAUAAAGAAAAGAUCUAUAUUUUAGAGUUGCUUUGAUACCAUGAAGGAAAAAAUGAGAGAAACUAAACAAACUCGAUUGGAAAUUUUUUCUUGUAUAUUUCUGUAAAUUUUUGUAUACAUUAUUGUAUUUAUUUAUACUACUAAACUAGGAACUAGAAAUGUAAAUUCUAUACUGUAC